GUGUGUGUGUGUGUGUGUGUGUGAGAGAGAGAGAGAGUGUGUGUGCGAUUUUGAGCUGCUAAGAGGUUACUCUGAGACAGGAGGAGCAAGUGAGCAUGUGUGAGGGUGGCAGAGAGAGAGACAGAGAGAGAGAGAGAGAGAGAGAGAGAGAGAGAGAGAGAGAGAGAGAGAGAGAGUGAGAGAGAGAGAGAGAGAGAGAGAGCGAGCGAGCGAGGGAGGAUUUCUCCGAGGUGUGCGCUGCCGCUAGCUGGAGAACGAAUCGUGGUCCGACUCGCACGAAACAAACACUACAACGAGAGCGGAAUACUGACACGGAGCGAGAGAAAACCAGUGAGAGAAGGAGGGAAAGAGGAAAAAAGAGGGAGAGGGAGAGAGGGGAGGGACGCUGGGGACCGAGAGUGCUGUCUGCGCUGCAUAACACACACACACAUUCUCUCUCUCUCUCACACACACACAAACACACGAGGAGAUGCAGCUGUAGACACUAUUUCUCUCUCUUUUGCCAUCUCUCCAUCCGUGUGUCGUUUCGGUUUCUCUGGUCCUGAUGCGGGGAGCAUGUGGAGCAUGUUGCCUUCUCCGGCUCGCCUCACACGCCGAAGGAUAAGCAGCGUUCAGGAUGGGCACGACGGCCAUCAGCAUUGAGGAAGCCAAGGAGGAGAGGGAGGAGUCCAUCCUGGCCCUGCUGGGCAUCAUCGGCACGUUCCUCAACCUCUUCGUCAUCGUCUUCGUUUACAUCUACACCACGCUCUGAGAGGGGAAGGAGGCGGAGCCACGGAACAGGGGGGCGGGAACUGAACAAGUGGGCGAGAGCGAGGAUGACAAUCAUACAGGAAGACGUGGAGAUGGACGGGGACGAGGAGGACGAGCGCCACAGCGCCGAUCUGCGGAGAUGACAGACGGACGGAUAUGAUGGUGGGGCGGGGUUUCCUGUACUGAAAGGGGCGGGGUUUAAGAAGGUUUCAAAAUGCAAAAAAAAAAAAAAAAAAAAAACCUACCCAAACACAAAUAUAAACUAACUCAUACAGACACUGCGUUUGGAUUUGUGGGCGGGGCUUCCUGUGCAAGAAGAGAGGCGGAGUUCAAUACACCUUUAAUACACCUAUUCAUCCUGGAUAUUCCAGCGCUCGUUCUCAUUGGCUGGCUCUCGGGGACUGGAGUCUGAUUGGUCGGGAGGAUUUCCACGG